GCUUACCACCCCUUCGUCGCGCCUACACGCUGCGUUGGAUUCCUCCAGCACAAACAACUGUACGAGUACUCGCUAAUGGCGGACGGUGGAGGUGGUGUUCCUGUCGCAUUUGUGAUUUCACACUAAAUAGGAAGGAAUCGGCGCUGGAUUGUUACACAACUGUUGCACCAGUGAAGGAUGUCUGUGUGCUGCCUUGCAUUCAGUUUCUCAGUCAUGGGGGCCUGCUUGCAACACCAGUGGCAAAGCAGUCUUGCAUUGUGCUAUUUGUUCUGGAAGUACACAAGCAUUGAGGAGCCAUUUGACCUGCCACUACACUGAUACGGUAUUUGGCAAAGGCAGGAGGCAUCUGCAAGCAACCAAUCAUUCCGAUUCUCAACCAAUCCUUCUAGUCAGCCCAUUUCUAGUGUCUUAUCUUGCAAGUUUUUUUCAGUAAAGCACAAUAAACACGCAGUUUCGUUCAGAUUCAGGUGGCUUGUUGCUUUUUGGGCACGAAUUUGUAUGUAUGCUUUGUACACGUCAUGUACAGAACUCAAAUGCAACAUGGCAACACUGACACGAAGAUGAAGCGGUGUAGAAGACAGUUACACAAGGAGGAAACGUGCACACACAGCAUGUUCAGUGUGGUGUAUGUCCACUUAUGUGCAUUGAUUUCUGCCCCAUUUCAAGCUAUAUCUGAUGCGAGUUAGCCAUGUU